GCCAGGUGUGGUGGCGCACACCUGUAAUCCCAGCUCCUGGGGAGGCAGAGGUGGGAGGAUUGCUUGAACCCGGGAGGCAGAGGUUGUAGUGAGCUGAGAUGGCACCACUGCACUCCAGCCUGGGUGACACAGCAAGACUCCAUCUCAU
rnacentral:SRP_RNA from 1 species